CCUUAUCUUCAUGGCUUGAACAGUUAUUUGAACCUAAAAAUCAUCUUCAUCAUAUCUCCCUACAGUUUUGUCGUUGUGUAUGUGUCACUAUGGGACGCCUCUUUCGCAACUUUUAGGGGGCAUCUGAGCUUAUGCGAUAUUACACACUCUGUCAUGCUGGACACCACGGUUAGUUCCAAGUUAUAUUUUGACUUGAACGUUUACGCCAGCCAAGCUUUCAUCAACAGGUGCUGCUGCUGACGAUUUCUUGCAUGUCGAGACAAUGGGAGAGAUUCAAUAGCAAGAACUUGUGUCAAUUGGGGAUCUCUACACGAACCUUUCCAUGUCCACCGACAAGACCUAUGAAGCUGAAGAAACUCACUAAGAAAGAUGCAGCAUCUGGCCCUAGAGGCGAUCCGUCUCCGCUCACAGUCAACUCAAUCUUAAUUACGUUUCCAUAAGCAUUAUCGAUACUGUGUCAUUAACAAAAAAAACGUAUGAUAGACUAAUUGGCGUUGGAGUGUCAGAGCUCCCUAAAUGCUUCGAAGAGCUUGCUGACCAAUGCCUCUUUCAGAUUCGAGUGACACCCUACAAUUUCACUCUCCACUACCGGACCGUCACAGUGUCUACUAAAGAUGUGGAUGUGAAGACUCAUUCAGGGAUAAACUAAGUUUUGUUGAGAUACCAACCUGGAUGGAGGUGAUCUAGAAAAAACUCCAUAUUCAUAUCAGGAUGAAAGUAACAACAGAGCUCCAAAAGUGGUAAGCCAAAGUGAGCAACCACCUGUUUCUGCAAGCGAUCCGGUAGAUGCGGCUACAAAAGUGACGGCAGUGGAUCAACCAACACCACCUAGCUCUGGAUGCGAAGAGAAGAGUUACAAACGCUACCGUGAGUGAAAAUUGGAAGUGUAGU